rnacentral:rRNA from 1 species
GUAGGGGGCAAGCGUUAUCCGGAUUUACUGGGUGUAAAGGGAGCGUAGACGGCACGGCAAGCCAGAUGUGAAAGCCCGGGGCUCAACCCCGGGACUGCAUUUGGAACUGCUGAGCUAGAGUGUCGGAGAGGCAAGUGGAAUUCCUAGUGUAGCGGUGAAAUGCGUAGAUAUUAGGAGGAACACCAGUGGCGAAGGCGGCUUGCUGGACGAUGACUGACGUUGAGGCUCGAAAGCGUGGGGAGCAAACAGGAUUAGAUACCCUGGUAGUCCACGCCGUAAACGAUGACUGCUAGGUGUCGGGUGGCAAAGCCAUUCGGUGCCGCAGCUAACGCAAUAAGCAGUCCACCUGGGGAGUACGUUCGCAAGAAUG